rnacentral:tRNA from 1 species
GCCGAGGUGGCGGAAUUGGCAGACGCGCAUGGUUGAGGGCCAUGUGGACCGAAAUGUCCGUGCGGGUUCAAGUCCCGCCCUCGGCACCA